rnacentral:rRNA from 1 species
UACGUAGGUGGCGAGCGUUGUCCGGAUUUACUGGGCGUAAAGGGAGCGUAGGCGGACUUUUAAGUGAGAUGUGAAAUACCCAGGCUCAACUUGGGUGCUGCAUUUCAAACUGGAAGUCUAGAGUGCAGGAGAGGAGAAUGGAAUUCCUAGUGUAGCGGUGAAAUGCGUAGAGAUCGAGAGGAACACCUGUGGCGAAGGCGGCCAGCUGGGAUACACCUGACGCUGAGAUGCGAAGGCGUGGGGAGCGAACGGGGAUUAGA